ACCUGCAGUCGAGCGAGGCCAGGGGGGCAACUCCCUGAGUCGAGCGGCGGACGGGUGAGUAACACGUGGGUAACCUACCCGGAAGUGGGGAAUACCUCGGGGAAACUCGAGCUAAUACCGCAUGACAUCUUCGGGACGAAAGUCCUGACGAUCAAAGCGGGGUCGCAAGAUCUCGCGCUACCGGAUGGGCCCGCGCCCGAUUAGCUAGUUGGUGAGGUAACGGCUCACCAAGGCGACGAUCGGUAACCGGCCUGAGAGGGCGAUCGGUCACACCGGAACUGAGACACGGUCCGGACUCCUACGGGAGGCAGCAGUGGGGAAUCUUGCGCAAUGGGCGAAAGCCUGACGCAGCAACGCCGCGUGGAGGAUGAAGGCCCUUGGGUUGUAAACUCCUGUCGGCUGGGAAGAAGUUGUUCGCGACUAAUACUCGCGGACAUUGACUGUACCAGCAAAGGAAGCCCCGGCUAACUCUGUGCCAGCAGCCGCGGUAAUACAGAGGGGGCCAGCGUUAUUCGGAAUUAUUGGGCGUAAAGGGCGCGUAGGCGGCCAUGCGUGUCUUCCGUGAAAUCCCUCGGCUUAACCGAGGACGUGCGGAAGAAACUGCAAGGCUCGAGUCCGGAAGAGGGGGGCGGAAUUCCCAGUGUAGCGGUGAAAUGCGUAGAUAUUGGGAGGAACACCAGUGGCGAAGGCGGUCCCCUGGGCCGGAACUGACGCUGAGGCGCGAAAGCGUGGGUAGCAAACGGGAUUAGAUACCCCGGUAGUCCACGCCGUAAACGAUGGGCACUUGGUGUCGCGGGUAUCGACCCCUGCGGUGCCGAAGCUAACGCAUUAAGUGCCCCGCCUGGGGAGU
rnacentral:rRNA from 1 species